rnacentral:rRNA from 1 species
UGGCGGCAGUAGCGCGGUGGUCCCACCUGACCCCAUGCCGAACUCAGAAGUGAAACGCCGUAGCGCUGAUGGUAGUGUGGGGUCUCCCCAUGCGAGAGUAGGGAACUGCCA